GACGAACGCUGGCGGCGUGCUUAACACAUGCAAGUCGAACGGAAAGGCCCUGCUUGCAGGGUACUCGAGUGGCGAACGGGUGAGUAACACGUGGGUGAUCUGCCCUGCACUUCGGGAUAAGCCUGUGAAACUGGGUCUAAUACCUGAUAGGAGCCAUUUUUAGUGUGAUGGUUGGAAAGUUUUUUCGGUGUAGGAUGAGCUCGCGGCCUAUCAGCUUGUUGGUUGGGUAAUGGCCUACCAAGGCGGCGACGGGUAGCCGGCCUGAGAGGGUGGACGGCCACAUUGGGACUGAGAUACGGCCCAGUCUCCUACGGGAGGCAGCAGUGGGGAAUAUUGCACAAUGGGCGCAAGCCUGAUGCAGCGACGCCGCGUGGGGGAUGACGGCCUUCGGGUUGUAAACUACUUUCGAUAGGGACGAAGCUUUUGUGACGGUACCUAGACAAGAAGCACCGGCUAACUACGUG
rnacentral:rRNA from 1 species